rnacentral:rRNA from 1 species
UACGGAGGGUGCAAACGUUGCUCGGAAUCAUUGGGCGUAAAGCGCACGUAGGCGGUUUGUUAAGUCGGUUGUGAAAUCCCCGGGCUCAACCCGGGAAGUGCAUACGAAACUGGCAAGCUUGAAUAUGGAAGAGGGUCGCGGAAUUCCCGGUGUAGAGGUGAAAUUCGUAGAUAUCGGGAGGAACAUCAGUGGCGAAGGCGGCGACCUGGGCCAAUAUUGACGCUGAGGUGCGAAAGCGUGGGGAGCAAACAGG